rnacentral:rRNA from 1 species
UACGUAGGGACCAAGCGUUGUUCGGAUUUACUGGGCGUAAAGGGCGCGUAGGCGGCAAUUCAAGUCAUCUGUGAAAUCUCCGGGCUUAACUCGGAACGGUCAGAUGAUACUGCUUUGCUAGAGUGCGGAAGGGGCAAUCGGAAUUCUUGGUGUAGCGGUGAAAUGCGUAGAUAUCAAGAGGAACACCUGAGGUGAAGACGGGUUGCUGGGCCGACACUGACGCUGAGGAGCGAAAGCCAGGGGAGCAAACGGG